AACGUGAUGUGCGAUGCGGAUAGUGGUCUUUGGCGGUGCAUCGUGCGCAUGAUUUGUGUGUACGCCGUCGAGUGGCACUUGCCACAACGAGUGGCCACGCAGUUUGGGAUGUAUCAGCAUACCCCACCGGGCCCCUGACCGACACCGACGGCCAAGCGCUCCACAUGAUGAGCCGGUAGAAGAAUCAGUUGAUCACAGAAUAGGGAGAGGAGCAUAAAAUCUGAGAACAAAGUGAGGGGGACGAUGAAGAAGUUCGUGAAGCGUUGUCGCAAGCUGGUAGGCCUGCUUGGGUGUGCUGGAGCUGGGUCGGUUGAAGCUUAUCAUCCUGCAACCACACAGGGUCACAUCGGCUCAUCGAGCCAUGUUCCCUCGUCUUCUAGGUUGGUUGCGGAGGAGGGGGAGGAGGAGGAGGAGGAGGAGGCCACACAUGAAGAAGGGGAGGAGGAGUAGUAUCAUGAGGACGAGGAGGAUGAGAGCAAUGGGGAGGAGUACGAUGAAGAUUAUGGACCUCCACCAACUCAAUCAUCUGAACCAUCUUAGCUGUCGAAGAGGAAUCCAAAGAAGAAGGAUUUGCUGAGUCCGGACCCUUUCCAGAGACCGGUUACUCGAUGGCCCAAGAAGAAGACUGAAGAGACUCAUUCAAAGAGGAACGAGGACCGUACCUCCAAGAGAAGCAGGAGCAAGUAAUUCUGCUCUUGAAUACUUGGCUCUUGUAGUGUCUAGUGGUUGUGAAACUACGUGGAACUAUGUGUUUGCUAUUUGUGAAACUAUCACUAAUGCAGGAUGCUGCU